AUGCCAAAACCUGAGGCAGCACCUGAAGCUAUAAAAUCUCCAAAUGAUUCUCCACAACCAAAUAAUUCACUUCUUAUUGAUAAUGCUGUGAGUGCAAAAAAGUGUAUAAGGAACACUAAAAAGGCUAAUAAGAAGGCACAAAUGAAAGCUCAGUUAAAAGCUUUAUCUAGCAGUCAAGAUCAUCCACCUUUUGUGCCAUAA
rnacentral:lncRNA from 1 species